rnacentral:tRNA from 1 species
GCCCGGAUAGCCCAGUCGGUAGAGCAGGGGAUUGAAAAUCCCCGUGUCCUUGGUUCGAUUCCGAGUCCGGGCACCA